rnacentral:tRNA from 1 species
UUUUUUGGGGUGUACUUGCACAUUAAACUUUCAUUUUAAAAGAAUGACUUAUCAUCAAAAAU